ensembl:miRNA mirlet7d microRNA let-7d
UGUGCUCUGCAGUGUGAGGUAGUUGGUUGUAUGGUUUCGCAUAAUAAACAGCACGGAGAUAACUGUACAACCUUCUAGCUUUCCCUGCGGAGUCAC